AUGGAGGGGUGGUUAAGCUUGUGUUUCAUAGCCGGAUCCACGCUACUGGCAAUUUGGUUUCUCGAGCUCUCCCGUCGCAACCCCAAUAAGAAGCUGCCUCCAGGGCCAUGGACUCUCCCCAUCGUCGGCAGCCUCCUCCACGUCGUUGGCGCCUUCCCGCACCGCACCAUUGCAGAACUGUCUCGCCGGCACGGGCCGCUGAUGCACCUCAGGCUAGGCGAAGUCGCCACCAUGGUGGUCUCCAGCGCCGAGGUGGCGGCGCUGGUCUUGAAGACCAACGACCUUACGUUCGCGGACCGGCCUCGCACUGUGACGCAGAACAUCUUCGGCAGUGGCGGCAAGGACAUCGCCUUUGCCCCCUACGGCGCCGCGUGGCGCCAGAUGCGCAAGGUGUGCGUCAUGGAGAUCCUCGGCUCCAAGCAGGCGAGGCGCACGGAGCGCAUCAGGACUGAGGAGGUCGGCAGCCUCCUUCGCUCCAUCGUCAGCGCCUCGGCCGUCGGCGGCGCCGGCGCUACGGUUAACGUCAGCGAGAAGGUGGCGAUGCUUAGCAACGACGUCGUUUCGCGGGCGGUUUUCGGCGGGAAGGUCGCGCAGCGGGACGAGUACAUCCGCGAGUUGGGCGAGGCCAUGGAGCUCGUGACCGGCUUCUGCCUCGUCGACAUCUUCCCCUCGUCGCGGCUGGUGCGGUGGCUUAGCAGCGUCGAGAGGCGUAUGAGGAGGAGCUACGGCCGUAUGCAGAGCAUCAUCGCUGACAUCCUCGACGAGCGCAAGGCCGCACGAGCUGCCGGCGAUGGCUCCUGCAGCACCGACGAUGAGGACCUGCUGGAAGUGCUGCUCAGGCUGCAGGCCGAGGACUCGUUGGAAUUCCCUCUAACCACAGAGAUUAUAGGCGCCGUCAUGUUUGACAUGUUUGCUGGUGGCACGGAUACCACCGCAACCGUUUUGGAGUGGGCUAUGUCGGAACUCGUGAACAAUCCCGAAGCCAUGACUAAAGCACAACUAGAGGUCCGAGAGGUGCUUGGUGAAGACCGAGUUAUCAUUACCAACUGUGACAUUGCUAAACUCCCCUACAUGAGGAUGGUCAUCAAGGAGGUUCUGAGGUUGCAUCCACCCAUUCCUCUAGUCCCUCGCAUGGCUAGAGAUGAUUGCACAAUUAUGGGUUAUGACAUGCUUAAAGGCACCAAUGUAUUAGUUAAUGUCUUCGCAAUUUCCAGAGAUUCAAGAUAUUGGGAAAAUCCUGAAGAGUUUAAGCCCAAGAGAUUUGAGAACAACAAUAUGGAUUACAAUGUGACGUAUUUUGAAUUUAUUCCCUUUGGGGCUGGGCGACGGCAGUGCCCUGGGAUGUUUUUUGGCAUGUCGACAGUGCACAUCACAUUGGCAAACAUGUUGUAUCACUUCAAUUGGAUGCUUCCUGAAGGGGCUUGUCUGACUUCAUUUGACAUGUCUGAGAAAUUUGGGUUGACAAUAAGACGAAGAUAUGACCUGCAGCUCAGAGCUAUUACACGGGUGGGCGUCAAAGAUAUACUGUCGAAGUGA
rnacentral:rRNA from 1 species